rnacentral:snoRNA from 1 species
UAAAAUAUGAAACAAGAUGACUCUGUGCUAGAGCAAUGUCUGUUCUUUUCCUCUGCAUUGAAAGGACUGUUUAUCCUUUUAAAUGUAUUCAUAAAGUCAGCACAUUA